UCAGGUGCUGUAUGAUUAGUAGGAUAUCCGGGGAAUGUGUUUGUGAAGUUUUAUUGUGUGUGCAUUGUCUGUCUUUGAUCCGUCUGUCACUGUCCGUUGAUGACAUUCAGACCACUGAGCACUGUAAAAAGUAGAUUGCUUAGACUCGUUUUGGAGUUUUAAUGCAAUCCUCGGGACUGUAGUAGGUAACUGAUUUUUGUGUUACGUGCAUAAUAGGAAAAGACUUCAGGGAGGAGAACGGAAGCUUGGAUAGCUAUUCAGGGGACAGGGAGGUAUGGAUAAACGGACAGACCAGUAGACUAGAUUGUUCCCCGAGACCACAGUUAAGAUUUUACAGGACAUGUAAGUUAAUAAAAUGCUUUCAGGUGUUACUUUAUAUUGGAAGAUAAUUUUUAUAUUGGAAGAUAAAGUGGUGAGGAGUGGUGGUGAUGACCAUCGUCUGCUGCUGAUAAAUAUUCUGGUUUAGGAUGUUAUGGGUAUUUGGUCUACAAUUAGAGGCAAUGGUUUACAUGUAUACCCACAACUUCAAGAUCAAAAGCCAUAUAGUAGUUUCUUAAAGGAUGGACUUUGAAAUUACUUUCAGUAUAUGAAAAGCAUGGAGGUAUAAUGGGUGGACUAGUAAUUUUUUUUUUUUUUUUAGAUUAGCCACUCAAGUUCAUGGAGGGGGGUCUAUACAUUCCCCACCCAUGCCCGGCGAGUAUAGGAUAGGAUACUGCUCAUUUGCCUAAUGGAAAUUGAAAAAGCAACAUGAUUGAAAAACAAUCCUUUUAUUAACAUCGUCACCAUUCUGGUUCAUUAGGAAGGUGUUGCACCUUGCUGUGUAGAGGACCUGGUGACUGAUGGCUGGGUCUCUUCCUGCAGGGUUACCUGAGUAGUUCCACAUUUGUGUUUUUAGUGAAAGCUGUGUGUUAGACUUGUUCAUUGACAGUGUUGUCAAUUAAUGAGCAGCAAUGUUUAAGUCCUAGACUCGUGAAGUAUAUAUAUUUACUUUUAAUUUUUUUUUUAUUUAUUUAUUUUUUUUAAUAUCACAGUUUCUCCGGAGACUCUUUGAAGUAUAUUAUAAAGAUGGGAAUUGGGAGAGCAAUGGAGAUAUGCAAGUAACCACCAUUUAUGUGCAUCAAUUCCCAAUUAGUGUAGCUUAUGUAAUACAAGGAAACAACCUUUGGUUAAGGAAACCAAAACCUAGGUCAAAAUUACUAUCACCUUUUAUUUAGUGUGCAUUCAUUGGUAACUCCCAUUACUAAUGGGUGGAGAUCUUGGGGUCUACCUGCUCCACUUACCCGACUAGUUUCACUACCUUGGCUGGUGUGUGGCAGUCCCAGGCCCAUCACCUCUUGAUUUUCUGUAAUGAAAAAAUUGGUAAAUUUACAAAAUAUGAAUAUCCAUUUUGA